GGUGAUCUAGCCAUGGGCAGGUUGAAGGUUGGGUAACACUAACUGGAGGACCGAACCGACUAAUGUUGAAAAAUUAGCGGAUGACUUGUGGCUGGGGGUGAAAGGCCAAUCAAACCGGGAGAUAGCUGGUUCUCCCCGAAAGCUAUUUAGGUAGCGCCUCGUGAAUUCAUCUCCGGGGGUAGAGCACUGUUUCGGCAAGGGGGUCAUCCCGACUUACCAACCCGAUGCAAACUGCGAAUACCGGAGAAUGUUAUCACGGGAGACACACGGCGGGUGCUAACGUCCGUCGUGAAGAGGGAAACAACCCAGACCGCCAGCUAAGGUCCCAAAGUCAUGGUUAAGUGGGAAACGAUGUGGGAAGGCCCAGACAGCCAGGAUGUUGGCUUAGAAGCAGCCAUCAUUUAAAGAAAGCGUAAUAGCUCACUGGUCGAGUCGGCCUGCGCGGAAGAUGUAACGGGGCUAAACCAUG
rnacentral:rRNA from 1 species